ensembl:lncRNA
UGAUGGUCUGGAAGGCGAGGAGAACCAAGAUCAGCAGCCUCCGGAAUUUUUCAUUGCUCGUUGCUCACCACAAACAUGCUGUUCCGGAGGGCAGCAGAAAGCCAUGAGAAUGGCAAGAUAAAGCUCAGCACGAGGCCACGGAGAUGCAGCAGAGGAAGUAACUGGCCACAAAGAAGCUGUUCAACAUGUAUGAGGCUGCACAGGUCACUGCUAUUUCAGCGAAAGUCAAAUGCAGAUGGGCAGAACUGGCAUUCAUUUGGUUACAACAGACAGUUAAGUCUAUGAUGGGCGUUGGCCUCAGAUGAAUGAAGAUGUUGAAGUAUUUGAGCAAUGUUCCUUUUUAAAACCAUGCAAAUUCACAAAAUGAAUGGAAACAGGGGCAGCAUGUUUUUUAAAGGAAGAGCUACAGAAGAGCAUGAUCCAAAAAUCCAUAAAAAUCAGAAAAAUCCCCAAACGAUGAAAAUCCCUGAAACAAGUUAUCCUGUGAUCACAGCAUUGCUGGCAACAUCAAGUUUUAAUCGAGUUUGUUAUUUUUGUCUCACUUAUUGAGUUUGUUCCUUGUACCUAGUCCUUUCCACACCCCCACUAUCUCUUAACAGCUUGUUUACUUUCUAUCAUAACUUGCAGCAGAUCUUUUUCCAUUGCUUUUUAAAAAUCAUUUCUACAACCUUCCAUUCACCUUGUUCUAUCAUUCUUAGCAGCUCAUUAUGCUUUAUUCUGCCUUUUGAGUCAUGUUAUUUGAUAUUUGCACUCUGAUUUAGGCUAUCACUAUCACCAGAAAAGCUGAUCCAUAGCUUCCAUAAAAACUACAGUUGAGGAUACAUCAC